rnacentral:rRNA from 1 species
UUAAGCGACUAAGCGUACACGGUGGAUGCCCUGGCAGUCAGAGGCGAUGAAGGACGUGCUAAUCUGCGAUAAGCGUCGGUAAGGUGAUAUGAACCGUUAUAACCGGCGAUUUCCGAAUGGGGAAACCCAGUGUGUUUCGACACACUAUCAUUAACUGAAUCCAUAGGUUAAUGAGGCGAACCGGGGGAACUGAAACAUCUAAGUACCCCGAGGAAAAGAAAUCAACCGAGAUUCCCCCAGUAGCGGCGAGCGAACGGGGAGCAGCCCAGAGCCUGAAUCAGUAUGUGUGUUAGUGGAAGCGUCUGGAAAGGCGCGCGAUACAGGGUGACAGCCCCGUACACAAAAAUGCACAUAUUGUGAGCUCGAUGAGUAGGGCGGGACACGUGGUAUCCUGUCUGAAUAUGGGGGGACCAUCCUCCAAGGCUAAAUACUCCUGACUGACCGAUAGUGAACCAGUACCGUGAGGGAAAGGCGAAAAGAACCCCGGCGAGGGGAGUGAAAAAGAACCUGAAACCGUGUACGUACAAGCAGUGGGAGCACGCUUAGGCGUGUGACUGCGUACCUUUUGUAUAAUGGGUCAGCGACUUAUAUUCUGUAGCAAGGUUAACCGAAUAGGGGAGCCGAAGGGAAACCGAGUCUUAACUGGGCGUUAAGUUGCAGGGUAUAGACCCGAAACCCGGUGAUCUAGCCAUGGGCAGGUUGAAGGUUGGGUAACACUAACUGGAGGACCGAACCGACUAAUGUUGAAAAAUUAGCGGAUGACUUGUGGCUGGGGGUGAAAGGCCAAUCAAACCGGGAGAUAGCUGGUUCUCCCCGAAAGCUAUUUAGGUAGCGCCUCGUGAAUUCAUCUCCGGGGUAGAGCACUGUUUCGGCAAGGGGGUCAUCCCGACUUACCAACCCGAUGCAAACUGCGAAUACCGGAGAAUGUUAUCACGGGAGACACACGGCGGGUGCUAACGUCCGUCGUGAAGAGGGAAACAACCCAGACCGCCAGCUAAGGUCCCAAAGUCAUGGUUAAGUGGGAAACGAUGUGGGAAGGCCCAGACAGCCAGGAUGUUGGCUUAGAAGCAGCCAUCAUUUAAAGAAAGCGUAAUAGCUCACUGGUCGAGUCGGCCUGCGCGGAAGAUGUAACGGGGCUAAACCAUGCACCGAAGCUGCGGCAGCGACGCUGAUGCGUUGUUGGGUAGGGGAGCGUUCUGUAAGCCUGCGAAGGUGUGCUGUGAGGCAUGCUGGAGGUAUCAGAAGUGCGAAUGCUGACAUAAGUAACGAUAAAGCGGGUGAAAAGCCCGCUCGCCGGAAGACCAAGGGUUCCUGUCCAACGUUAAUCGGGGCAGGGUGAGUCGACCCCUAAGGCGAGGCCGAAAGGCGUAGUCGAUGGGAAACAGGUUAAUAUUCCUGUACUUGGUGUUACUGCGAAGGGGGACGGAGAAGGCUAUGUUGGCCGGGCGACGGUUGUCCCGGUUUAAGCGUGUAGGCUGGUUUUCCAGGCAAAUCCGGAAAAUCAAGGCUGAGGCGUGAUGACGAGGCACUACGGUGCUGAAGCAACAAAUGCCCUGCUUCCAGGAAAAGCCUCUAAGCAUCAGGUAACAUCAAAUCGUACCCCAAACCGACACAGGUGGUCAGGUAGAGAAUACCAAGGCGCUUGAGAGAACUCGGGUGAAGGAACUAGGCAAAAUGGUGCCGUAACUUCGGGAGAAGGCACGCUGAUAUGUAGGUGAAGUCCCUCGCGGAUGGAGCUGAAAUCAGUCGAAGAUACCAGCUGGCUGCAACUGUUUAUUAAAAACACAGCACUGUGCAAACACGAAAGUGGACGUAUACGGUGUGACGCCUGCCCGGUGCCGGAAGGUUAAUUGAUGGGGUUAGCCGCAAGGCGAAGCUCUUGAUCGAAGCCCCGGUAAACGGCGGCCGUAACUAUAACGGUCCUAAGGUAGCGAAAUUCCUUGUCGGGUAAGUUCCGACCUGCACGAAUGGCGUAAUGAUGGCCAGGCUGUCUCCACCCGAGACUCAGUGAAAUUGAACUCGCUGUGAAGAUGCAGUGUACCCGCGGCAAGACGGAAAGACCCCGUGAACCUUUACUAUAGCUUGACACUGAACAUUGAGCCUUGAUGUGUAGGAUAGGUGGGAGGCUUUGAAGUGUGGACGCCAGUCUGCAUGGAGCCGACCUUGAAAUACCACCCUUUAAUGUUUGAUGUUCUAACGUUGACCCGUAAUCCGGGUUGCGGACAGUGUCUGGUGGGUAGUUUGACUGGGGCGGUCUCCUCCUAAAGAGUAACGGAGGAGCACGAAGGUUGGCUAAUCCUGGUCGGACAUCAGGAGGUUAGUGCAAUGGCAUAAGCCAGCUUGACUGCGAGCGUGACGGCGCGAGCAGGUGCGAAAGCAGGUCAUAGUGAUCCGGUGGUUCUGAAUGGAAGGGCCAUCGCUCAACGGAUAAAAGGUACUCCGGGGAUAACAGGCUGAUACCGCCCAAGAGUUCAUAUCGACGGCGGUGUUUGGCACCUCGAUGUCGGCUCAUCACAUCCUGGGGCUGAAGUAGGUCCCAAGGGUAUGGCUGUUCGCCAUUUAAAGUGGUACGCGAGCUGGGUUUAGAACGUCGUGAGACAGUUCGGUCCCUAUCUGCCGUGGGCGCUGGAGAACUGAGGGGGGCUGCUCCUAGUACGAGAGGACCGGAGUGGACGCAUCACUGGUGUUCGGGUUGUCAUGCCAAUGGCACUGCCCGGUAGCUAAAUGCGGAAGAGAUAAGUGCUGAAAGCAUCUAAGCACGAAACUUGCCCCGAGAUGAGUUCUCCCUGACUCCUUGAGAGUCCUGAAGGAACGUUGAAGACGACGACGUUGAUAGGCCGGGUGUGUAAGCGCAGCGAUGCGUUGAGCUAACCGGUACUAAUGAACCGUGAGGCUUAACCUU